rnacentral:rRNA from 1 species
AAGGGUGGUAAUGCCGGAUGCUCCAUCACACCGCAUGGUGUGUUGGGAAAGCCUUUGCGGCAUGGGAUGGGGUCGCGUCCUAUCAGCUUGAUGGCGGGGUAACGGCCCACCAUGGCUUCGACGGGUAGCCGGCCUGAGAGGGCGACCGGCCACAUUGGGACUGAGAUACGGCCCAGACUCCUACGGGAGGCAGCAGUGGGGAAUAUUGCACAAUGGGCGCAAGCCUGAUGCAGCGACGCCGCGUGAGGGAUGGAGGCCUUCGGGUUGUAAACCUCUUUUGUUAGGGAGCAAGGCAUUUUGUGUUGAGUGUACCUUUCGAAUAAGCACCGGCUAACUACGUGCCAGCAGCCGCGGUAAUACGUAGGGUGCAAGCGUUAUCCGGAAUUAUUGGGCGUAAAGGGCUCGUAGGCGGUUCGUCGCGUCCGGUGUGAAAGUCCAUCGCUUAACGGUGGAUCCGCGCCGGGUACGGGCGGGCUUGAGUGCGGUAGGGGAGACUGGAAUUCCCGGUGUAACGGUGGAAUGUGUAGAUAUCGGAAAAAAACACC